CAUGUAUUUAUAUCUAAUUGUUAUUCUACAAACAAAGUUCUUGUCAUUGAAAAUCCUAGUAAUCAUUGGUGUUACAAUAUUUAUUUUUUCAUUUUCAAUAAAUCAUGAGAGAAAUUUAUCAUCAAUUUUGCUAGGAGCCACAACAGUAUUGUAGUAUGUUGUUACACAUAUCAGUCCAAAACCACUUUCUAUAUGUUUUUAUUGUAUUAUUGUCUGAUGUUUGUUAUAUAUUUACCUUUUAAAGUCUAUAUUUGUAGAAAGAUGUGAAUAUCCUAAUCAAAAUACUGCCAUCCUGGGUUAUUCAUGGCCUAUUUUAUAGCUGUGUUAGAUUUAUAUAUAUAUUAUGUUGUGCCAAUAUACUUUAAAGAACUAAUUUUGUUUGAUAUUUUUUUUGAUAAUACAAUUGCAAAAUAGAAUCUAUACUAUAGAUUUGAAUUUUUAAGUAAAGCAGAAUUAGGAACAAGAUAAGGGCAAAAAAAUAAUACUAAAUAACAAAUAAAUGGCUGGACCUUAGAAAUUGUAAUAAUUGGGAAAAAAAAGUUUUAUUUAUGAUAUUUUUUCUAAAACUUUAUUUUGUGGAAAAAAAACCUUUGUACUGUGGAUACUUCUGAUGAUAAGUUGUUCCAUUAUAUUAAAUGUAAUCAACGAUUUUGAAAGAGUUCAUUUAGGUGGUACUUAACGCUACAGGGAGAUAACUCUGUUAAAUCAGCUGAACGUUUUAAUCACAUUCUUUUAUCAAGAAAACAUGAAGCUUCUAAAUUAUCAAAAUUAAUGAUGUCAAACUGCUAUGUAUCAAACCAAUUUUUUUCUGAUAAUGUGUUUGGUUCAGGUUUUUUGAAGUUUUUGUCAUAGGGUCAAAGUAAAUAUUUUGUCAAAAUAUUAUGAAAAUUAAAGGAGCCCAAUUAAUUUUAGACAAUGUUUAAAGUACCACCUUAAAUGAUAUUAAACCAAAUUAUAAUUCCUCUUUUUUUAUUUAAAUGAUCAAUGUGACUGUUAUUUGAUUUUUUGUUAUGAUUCUAUUCUAGGACAUGUAGGAGAUUGUAAUCUCUUUGGAUAAACUUUUGUAAAUCUCAUUUGCUUGUUGAAAUAUUAAUUUCAAAUGCCUCUAUAACCAUAGUUACAUUCUUUGAAAAUAAACCCUUAUUUCUUACAAUUUUAUUUUCAUAUUGUAUAGUUUAAAUAAUAUUUAAUAAAAUUUGUCAGGGAAUGAUUACUUAUUUUUUAUGUUACUCAGAGUCUCUGAUGUCAUAUAUCUGUGAAAUUAUGUUCCCAAAUUAUGUGGAUCAGUCUUUUUUUUCUUUUUUGGACAUGUUGUUUUAUGUAUUAGUUUGUGAUUAGGUCUGGUUUAUGCUGAACCACUAGUAGUAAGUCAAAGAUAUUUGGUAUGCAGUUGUAUUAGUAUUGCACAUCUCAUUACCAUGAAGAUUAUUUUGCCCUGCCCCCAAAGUUAUUGUCUAUUGACUUUGAAAUUUUGCUUAAUCUUUAUAUAUAUUUGUUUGUGAUUAAGUUAGUUUAUGAGGAACCACUAGUGGUAAGUUAACGAUAAUUGGUAUGCAGUUGUAUAAGCAUUCACAUAUCUCAUUUCCAUGGAGAUUUUUUGGCCCUGCCCCUUCAGUCAUGGUCUAUUUACUUUGAAAUAUUUGAUUAGUUUUCAUGUAUUAGUCUGCGAUUUGGUCCGUUUAUGGGGAACCACCAGUAGUUAGUUAAUGAUAAUUAGUAUGCAGUUGCAUAAGCAUUGAUAUAUCUCAUUUCCAUGGAGAUCAUUUUGCCCUACCUCCUCAGUCAUGGUCUAUUGACUUUAUAACUUUAAAGCAUAGUUUUUAUGUAUUAGUUUGUGAUUAGGUUGGUUUAUGGAAAAACACUAGUUGUAGGUCAAUGGUAUUUGGUAUGCAGUUGUUUCAGCAUUGGC
rnacentral:lncRNA from 1 species